UAGGGAAUCUUCCGCAAUGGACGAAAGUCUGACGGAGCAACGCCGCGUGAGUGAAGAAGGAUUUCGGAUCGUAAAGCUCUGUUGUUAAGGAAGAACGAGUGUGAGAAUGGAAAGUUCAUGCUGUGACGGUACUUAACCAGAAAGGGACGGCUAACUACGUGCCAGCAGCCGCGGUAAUACGUAGGUCCCGAGCGUUGUCCGGAUUUAUUGGGCGUAAAGCGAGCGCAGGCGGUUAGAAAAGUCUGAAGUGAAAGGCAGUGGCUCAACCAUUGUAGGCUUUGGAAACUGUUUAACUUGAGUGCAGAAGGGGAGAGUGGAAUUCCAUGUGUAGCGGUGAAAUGCGUAGAUAUAUGGAGGAACACCGGUGGCGAAAGCGGCUCUCUGGUCUGUAACUGACGCUGAGGCUCGAAAGCGUGGGGAGCGAACAGG
rnacentral:rRNA from 1 species